AUUGAACGCUGGCGGCAGGCCUAACACAUGCAAGUCGAACGAGUGGCGGACGGGUGCGUAAUGUCUGGGAAACUGCCUGAUUGAGGGUGAUAACUACUGGAAACGGUAGCUAAUACCGCAUACCAUCAGAUGUGCCCAUCUGGUAUUAGCUAGUUGGUGGGGUAACGGCUCACCAAGGCGACGAUCCCUAGCUGGUCUGAGAGGAUGACAAGCCACACUGGAACUGAGACACGGUCCAGGCUCCUACGGGAGACAGCAGUGGGGAAUAUUGCACAAUGGGCGCAAGCCGGAUGCAGCCAUGCCGCGUGUAUGAAGAAGGGCUUCGGGUUGUAAAGUACUUGCAGCGGGGAGGCGUUACGCGCAGAAGAAGCACCGGCUAACUCCGUGCCAGCAGCCGCGGUAAUUC
rnacentral:rRNA from 1 species